AGUGAACGCUGGCGGUAGGCCUAACACAUGCAAGUCGAACGGCAGCACAGUAAGAGCUUGCUCUUACGGGUGGCGAGUGGCGGACGGGUGAGGAAUACAUCGGAAUCUACUUUUUCGUGGGGGAUAACGUAGGGAAACUUACGCUAAUACCGCAUACGACGUACGGGUGAAAGCAGGGGAUCUUCGGACCUUGCGCGAUUGAAUGAGCCGAUGUCGGAUUAGCUAGUUGGCGGGGUAAAGGCCCACCAAGGCGACGAUCCGGAGCUGGUCUGAGAGGAUGAUCAGCCACACUGGAACUGAGACACGGUCCAGACUCCUACGGGAGGCAGCAGUGGGGAAUAUUGGACAAUGGGCGCAAGCCUGAUCCAGCCAUACCGCGUGGGUGAAGAAGGCCUUCGGGUUGUAAAGCCCUUUUGUUGGGAAAGAAAAGCAGCAGGUUAAUACCCCGCUGUUCUGACGGUACCCAAAGAAUAAGCACCGGCUAACUUCGUG
rnacentral:rRNA from 1 species